rnacentral:rRNA from 1 species
GAUGAACGCUGGCGGCGUGCCUAAUACAUGCAAGUCGAGCGAACAGACGAGGAGCUUGCUCCUCUGACGUUAGCGGCGGACGGGUGAGUAACACGUGGAUAACCUACCUAUAAGACUGGGAUAAAUUCGUGAAACCGGUGCUAAUACCGGAUAAUAUAUUCAACCGCAUGGUUCAAUAGUGAAAGACGGUUUUGCUGUCACUUAUAGAUGGAUCCGCGCCGCAUUAGCUAGUUGGUAAGGUAACGGCUUACCAAGGCGACGAUGCGUAGCCGACCUGAGAGGGUGAUCAGCCACACUGGAACUGAGACACGGUCCAGACUCCUACGGGAGGCAGCAGUAGGGAAUCUUGCGCAAUGGGCGAAAGCCUGACGGAGCAACGCCGCGUGAGUGAUGAAGGUCUUCGGAUCGUAAAACUCUGUUAUUAGGGAAGAACAAAUGUGCAAGUAACUAUGCACGUCUUGACGGUACCUAAUCAGAAAGCCACGGCUAACUACGUG